rnacentral:rRNA from 1 species
AGCACUUUAUUUGAUUUCCUUCGGGACUGAUUAUUUUGUGACUGAGUGGCGGACGGGUGAGUAACGCGUGGGUAACCUACCUUGUACAGGGGGAUAACAGUUGGAAACGGCUGCUAAUACCGCAUAAGCGCACAGCAUCGCAUGAUGCAGUGUGAAAAACUCCGGUGGUAUAAGAUGGACCCGCGUUGGAUUAGCUAGUUGGUGAGGUAACGGCCCACCAAGGCGACGAUCCAUAGCCGACCUGAGAGGGUGACCGGCCACAUUGGGACUGAGACACGGCCCAAACUCCUACGGGAGGCAGCAGUGGGGAAUAUUGCACAAUGGGCGAAAGCCUGAUGCAGCGACGCCGCGUGAGCGAAGAAGUAUUUCGGUAUGUAAAGCUCUAUCAGCAGGGAAGAUAAUGACGGUACCUGACUAAGAAGCACCGGCUAAAUACGUGCCAGCAGCCGCGGUAAUACGUAUGGUGCAAGCGUUAUCCGGAUUUACUGGGUGUAAAGGGAGCGCAGGCGGUGCGGCAAGUCUGAUGUGAAAGCCCGGGGCUCAACCCCGGUACUGCAUUGGAAACUGUCGUACUAGAGUGUCGGAGGGGUAAGCGGAAUUCCUAGUGUAGCGGUGAAAUGCGUAGAUAUUAGGAGGAACACCAGUGGCGAAAGGCGGCUUACUGGACGAUAACUGACGCUGAGGCUCGAAAGCG